GGAAGGGGUGUAUUUAUUAGAUAAAAAACCAACGCCCUUCGGGGCUCCUUGGUGAAUCAUAAUAACUUAACGAAUCGCAUGGCCUUGCGCCGGCGAUGGUUCAUUCAAAUUUCUGCCCUAUCAACUUUCGAUGGUAGGAUAGUGGCCUACCAUGGUGGCAACGGGUAACGGGGAAUUAGGGUUCGAUUCCGGAGAGGGAGCCUGAGAAACGGCUACCACAUCCAAGGAAGGCAGCAGGCGCGCAAAUUACCCAAUCCCGAUACGGGGAGGUAGUGACAAUAAAUACUGAUACGGGGCUCUUUCGGGUCUCGUAAUUGGAAUGAGAACAAUUUAAAUCCCUUAACGAGGAACAAUUGGAGGGCAAGUCUGGUGCCAGCAGCCGCGGUAAUUCCAGCUCCAAUAGCGUAUAUUAAAGUUGUUGCAGUUAAAAAGCUCGUAGUUGAACCUUGGGCCUGGCUGGCCGGUCCGCCUCACCGCGUGUACUGGUCCGGCCGGGCCUUUCCUUCUGGGGAACCUCAUGCCCUUCACUGGGCGUGUUGGGGAACCAGGACUUUUAC
rnacentral:rRNA from 1 species